CAGCAGCCGCGGUAAUACGGAGGGUGCAAGCGUUAUCCGGAUUCACUGGGUUUAAAGGGUGCGUAGGAGGGCAGGUAAGUCAGUGGUGAAAUCUUCGAGCUUAACUCGGAAACUGCCGUUGAUACUAUCUGUCUUGAAUACCGUGGAGAUGAGCGGAAUAUGUCAUGUAGCGGUGAAAUGCUUAGAUAUGACAUAGAACACCAAUUGCGAAGGCAGCUCGUUACACGAAUAUUGACUCUGAGGCACGAAAGCGUGGGGAUCAAACAGGAUUAGAUACCCUGGUAGUCCACGCCCUAAACGA
rnacentral:rRNA from 1 species